GGUCACUGUUAGUCUUUGGGGGUCAGUGGAUGCCGUUUAUAUAGUGUCAUUACUGAGCACUCAGCAGAACUGUCCAGACAGAUUUGGUCAUGUUAUUUUACUUGGUGUGAUGUUUCUCUGUUCCGGGGAGGAAAUUGGAAGAUGUUGUCAUUCAUCUAAUACAAGGAAUAUCGUUAUAUUAGUACACACAGAUAAUGGGUGUUGGGUUAAUAGAAAUGGCUUAAAAGUUUGUCACAGUCCAUGUUCUUUUAGAUUUUAACUCUUAUAUAUAUUUUUACUUUUUUUUUUUUACUGCAGAUUUUUUACUGCAAAUGCAUUACCUGUUUGAUAAGUUUCAUUUGAUGUUGCUGAGGUCUUAUUUCAGUGUACCAACUUUAAAACUAUUGGAAUUUGGCACAGCAGAGAAACUCUCAGAUGCAAAGAAGCAGUCAAAUGUCACCGGUAUUCUGUUUCAGGUGACAUCAAGACUUGUAACUUAGAGUUUAUAUAUCAGUUAAAACUGCUUUGUCUGUUCCCGUUGUUAAUUUUCAUUGCAAUUAAGGUUUGAUGUCAGUGUUGUUAGUGAUCACAUGAGCCAGGGGCAGAGAGGACAGCUUGGCUGGUUUUCCAAGAAUUCUCCCAACUUUUGCCAGCAGGAGAUAAAAUUAAAAUCUAAAAAAUCUCUAAGAUUUAUUACCAGAUGGAUGGUAACAAGUCAUCCUUCCAAAUGAAAAAUAAUAUCUCUGACAGAUUUUUUUAUUGGGCUAUUAAAUCUCAGUAGUCAUGGCAUGAAGUAAACUGGACUGUGAUAUUAUGUGAUAUUAUGACUCUCAAAGUUAUAAACAGCAUGUGCUUAUAUGGAAAAAUCAUAAUUAUAGCACAGCGAGAGCUGCUGUUUGUAUUAUGAGGAUUAGGUCACUUGUCCAUACAAGCAGCAGUGAAGGCUUGAUGGGAACUGUCAACUGGACUACUGCAAUGCUCUCUUGGCAGGCCUUCCAGCAUACAUUGUCAAACCUCUGCAAGUGAUCCAGAAUGCAGCAGGAAGAGUGGUCUAUAACAAGCAGAAGAGAGCGCAUGUUACACCUUUUAUCAUAAACUUGCACUAGUUGCCAGCUGAUGCUCGCAACAGAUUCAAGCUCUCGAUAUGCAUAGCAUCCGUGGUCCAAAAAGUGCCAAGUCUAAAAGCAUUUUGUUCUCAACAGCAAAAUAUCAGAAAUGUGACAAAAUACAUGCAGAUCAGUCCUCAUCUGGGAACUUUGCUGCUUUGAGUGACAGUUCAGUAAUGGUGAAGAAAUCUCAAGGAGUCUUGCAGUGUGUUGUUUGAUCUGCAGAAAGGACGCGGUGAAGAAGCGCUACAGAUCACAGUGGUUUCAAAUAGGAUACAGUACUGCAGUCAAGAGAUGCUGGUGAUUCAAGAAGAUUUGAUUCAAAAAGAUCUGCUGAAACUGUGUACGACUGCCAAGAUGAAACCUGGAUAUAUGUAAUCCGCACACCAGACGGACCCUUUGCUCCAGCUGCUUUCUCUUCAGAGGACGGCCUGUCUUAGUGUGUGUGAGAGACGGGAACAUCCUGUUGAGAGGUCAUGUGACUGAUGACGUACUGGGAAUCUGAAGAAUGAAGAAUCUUGGCUGUCAGAAGACCAAAUUACUCUCACUCUAUCAUAAACAUGUAAAAGAGUGAUUUGAUAUAGGCUACUAUUUUACUUUGCAAUAUGUGUGUAAAAUGGUCAUAAGUGGGUUUUCCUAUUCUAUACAAUGCAUUAUAUCUCAUUUGCAUAUUAAUGUAUUCUUGGAGCAACAUGUAAUAUAAUAAAAUUUAAUAAUGGGAGUAAUAAUUGGCAACAUUUUCAUAGGAAUAUCUAAUAUUUCAUAGGAAUAUUGAUAUAUAAUUUAUUUCCCUAUUCACUUGUUAUGUCUCCCAAAAUGCCUGAUUUACAUGCUUUAAUCCUGGUGUGGACCUGUAUGAAAUCAAUCCUGUUUCAUAACAGAAAGUCAUAUUCUGAUUUGAAACCCCAUAAUAAUUUCCUGAGAUGUUGAUUCAUGACAAACAAUUUGAAAAUUAGUCCCAUUUAAAUGAUAAUGACAAAAUAUUAUAUUUCCAUAAGAGUGCUAAAUUUGGUCAUUCAUUCUAUCAAUGUCAAUCAUAUUUAAAGGCCAAGCAGAGGGAGUGGUCAUGAUGAAACUUCCAAACAUUUGGUAUCUCUGAAAAGCCCUGAAUCUGCUCUUUUCAGGACAUCCAGAUUUAACUGUUCAUAUAUAACAUCCACUACAGUGUACAGAAGUCUAUGCUUGGGUCACAGGAGGAUAUAUUAGAUGCAAACAAGUGAAUGAAUGUGGUUAUCGGCUCAUGCACUUGCAGUUAUAUUUACAUGUUUUAUGAGAGUCUUGUUCCAUUUGGGAGAGCAGAAAUGGAGUCAUAGUCAUAGUCCAGGAAAGAAAUGAAAAGUCUCUAUAAACCACACUACUGUAGAGAGUAAUUGCCUGCUUUGUGUAGUUUUUGAACUGAAUUAACCAACAUGUCACAGUAAGGACACCUUCUAUCAUUAGAACAAUUACUUCAAUGCUGUCUGAUCCAGAUAGUGGCUGUUAAUGCAUGAAAAUCUGAAUUGAACAUUGUCAAUCACAAUCAGUCGGCUCUUGAUAACAUAAAGGCCUGUACACACCGGGACGAAUAUCGCACGCGUUUAUCGAGAACUUUUUUGUGUUCAUUCCCAAGCGAUUUUCACUAGCGAUGCACAGAGUGAACGUACAAAUUCACUCCCUGACAGUAUGUGGCGCUUGUGCUCAACUUUAGUGCAAAUAAACACGGUAUACUGAUACGACCUAGGAAGCUAGGGAGCUGUUUGAGACGCAGGGAUAUGUCCUCGUCUACUUAUUUUCUCUUUGUCGUCUUGGUAUCAAUGCGUGUUCGGCAAGACCGUUUUGUGCUUGAGCGCCACCAAGUCGUGUUUUACUGUAACUUCAGCAUCUCCAGGCAUGUGAAAAAAAAGCGCCACUCUCAUUGGUCGGCCGGUUUUGAUGCGGCGCAUCAAACCAAAAAAACGAACCUGAGGUGUUUUUUAAAAAAUGACGCUUUUAUGCCUGGCAUUUUUCAUGUCGUGUGCACACUCACAUUGGGCGCCCUUUGUUUAGUCAUGAGGCGUUAAACGUCAGUGAUAAUUGCCCGAUAUUCGUGCCGGCGUGUACAGGCCUUAAGACCUGAAAAAAAUGUAUCUAAUACUUUUAAUUUUCAUUAAAGCGUGAUCAAAAGAAAUAUGUAACAAUUCAGAUAGUACAACUUGACUUAAUGGUGAAAAAGGAGUGAAUGAUUUACUGCUGUGUUACAGUUUUUCUUAAUUGUUUACACACAAAUAUUGGUACUUGAGACACAAUGACCACAACAUGUAACUCAUGCACCAACCCCCUGAACCAAUUCUGCUAAACUACAAGCACAAUUCCUGCUUUACACUCACAUUGCAGUUCUAAAACACACUUUUUUCAAAACAAUUCUCUGCAUUUGGCACAAUUUACGGGCAGAAAAAUCUCUUGUUUUCACAAGGAACACACUGCCAUUCAAAUAUGCACACUGACUCAUCACAUGGGCAAACACCUGUCACACAUUUUUACAAUUAGCAAACAGAGCUUUAGCAUAAAAGGGCAACAGGUGAGCUCUUCUGUUUUGGAGCAAUGGAUGCCAACAAUGGAAACAGAGGCAGAGCAGCAUAGUUUUUUUUUUUUAUACAGUAAAUUCUUCUGUUGUUUUGUACUGUAUGUGCAACUUUGCGUUGUUUGUGAUGUGCACUGUACAUUGUUUUUGUUGGAAAAAUAAAAUAUAUUUGUUACCGUG